CUCAGAUUGAACGCUGGCGGCAGGCCUAACACAUGCAAGUCGAACGGUAACAUUUCUAGCUUGCUAGAAGAUGACGAGUGGCGGACGGGUGAGUAAUGCUUGGGAACUUGUUUGCGAGGGGGAUAACAGUUGGAAACGACUGCUAAUACCGCAUAAUGUCUUCGGACCAAACGGGGCUUCGGCUCCGGCGCAAAGAGAGGCCCAAGUGAGAUUAGCUAGUUGGUAAGGUAACGGCUUACCAAGGCGACGAUCUCUAGCUGUUCUGAGAGGAAGAUCAGCCACACUGGGACUGAGACACGG
rnacentral:rRNA from 14 species